rnacentral:rRNA from 1 species
CCUACGUGAGGCUGCAGUGAGGAAUAUUGGUCAAUGGGCGGAAGCCUGAACCAGCCAAGUAGCGUGCAGGAUGACGGCCCUACGGGUUGUAAACUGCUUUUAUACGGGAAUAACGCCCCUUACUUGUAGGGCUUUGCAUGUACCGUAUGAAUAAGGACCGGCUAAUUCCGUGCCAGCAGCCGCGGUAAUACGGAAGGUCCGGGCGUUCUCCGGAUUUAUUGGGUUUAAAGGGAGCGUAGGCCGCAUGUCAAGCGUGCUGUGAAAUAUCCGGGCUCAACCCGGGCCUUGCAGCGCGACCUGGACGGCUUGAGUCCGCGGAAGGCAGGCGGAAUUCGUCGUGUAGCGGUGAAAUGCUUAGAUAUGACGAAGAACCCCGAUUGCGAAGGCAGCUUGCUGCAGCGGAACUGACGCUGAUGCUCGAAGGCGCGGGUAUCGAACAGGAUUAGAUACCCCAGUAGUC